UACGUAGGGUGCAAGCGUUAUCCGGAAUUAUUGGGCGUAAAGAGCUCGUAGGCGGUUUGUCGCGUCUGCUGUGAAAACUGGAGGCUCAACCUCCAGCCUGCAGUGGGUACGGGCAGACUAGAGUGCGGUAGGGGAGAUUGGAAUUCCUGGUGUAGCGGUGGAAUGCGCAGAUAUCAGGAGGAACACCGAUGGCGAAGGCAGAUCUCUGGGCCGUAACUGACGCUGAGGAGCGAAAAGCGUGGGGAGCGAACAGG
rnacentral:rRNA from 1 species